GAUGAACGCUGGCGGCGUGCCUAAUACAUGCAAGUCGAGCGAACGGACGAGAAGCUUGCUUCUCUGAUGUUAGCGGCGGACGGGUGAGUAACACGUGGAUAACCUACCUAUAAGACUGGGAUAACUUCGGGAAACCGGAGCUAAUACCGGAUAAUAUUUUGAACCGCAUGGUUCAAAAGUGAAAGACGGUCUUGCUGUCACUUAUAGAUGGAUCCGCGCUGCAUUAGCUAGUUGGUAAGGUAACGGCUUACCAUGGCAACGAUGCAUAGCCGACCUGAGAGGGUGAUCGGCCACACUGGAACUGAGACGCGGUCCAGACUCCUACGGGAGGCAGCAGUAGGGAAUCUUCCGCAAUGGGCGAAAGCCUGACGGAGCAACGCCGCGUGAGUGAUGAAGGUCUUCGGAUCGUAAAACUCUGUUAUUAGGGAAGAACAUAUGUGUAAGUAACUGUGCACAUCUUGACGGUAGCUAAUCAGAAAGCCACGGCUAACUACGUG
rnacentral:rRNA from 1 species